AUAUCAUUAAGCGGAGGAAAAGAAACUAACAAGGAUGCCCUCAGUAACGGCGAGUGAAGUGGGCAAAGCUCAAACUGAAAAUCGGUUCCUUAGCGGGGUUUCGAAUUGUGGUCUAUAGACGCGCUAGCAGCAAUGCCCGGGUAUAAAUCUUUUGAAACAAGGUGUCAUAGAGGGUGAGAACCCCGUCCAUGACUCGGUGUCCGUUGCGUACGCUGCGUGUUCAAAGAGUCGGGUUGCUUGGGAUUGCAGCCCUAAGUGGGUGGUAAACUUCAUCUAAAGCUAAAUAUUGGCGAGAGACCGAUAGCGCACAAGUA
rnacentral:rRNA from 1 species